ACGGGAGGCAGCAGUGGGGAAUAUUGGACAAUGGGGGAAACCCUGAUCCAGCGACGCCGCGUGAGUGAAGAAGUAUUUCGGUAUGUAAAGCUCUAUCAGCAGGAAAGAAAAUGACGGUACCUGACUAAGAAGCCCCGGCUAACUACGUGCCAGCAGCCGCGGUAAUACGUAGGGGGCAAGCGUUAUCCGGAUUUACUGGGUGUAAAGGGAGCGUAGACGGUUUUGCAAGUCAGAAGUGAAAGCCCGGGGCCCAACCCCGGAACUGCUUUUGAAACUGUAGAACUGGAGUGCAGGAGAGGUAAGUGGAAUUCCUAGUGUAGCGGUGAAUGCGUAGAUAUUAGGAGGAACACCAGUGGCGAAGGCGGCUUACUGGACUGUAACUGACGUUGAGGCUCGAAGGCGUGGGGAGCAAACAGGAUUAGAUACCCUGGUA
rnacentral:rRNA from 1 species